rnacentral:rRNA from 1 species
UGAGCAAUCUGCCCUUCACAUCGGAAAUAACCAUUGGAAACGAUGGCUAAUACCGAAUAUGACCUCGGAUCGCAAGAUCUGAAGUGGAAAGCUCCGGCGGUGAAGGAUGAGCUCGCGGCCUAUCAGCUUGUUGGUGAGGUAAUAGCUCACCAAGGCGAUGGACGGGUACGCCGGCCUGGAGGAGGGUCGACCGGCCACACGUGGGACUGAGACGACCGGCCCAGACCUACCGG